AUUUUCUUUAUUACUAUUGUUCUUGCGUUUGGCUUUCGCCCGUUGUAAGCUUCGGUAAUAAGUGGGUUGCGAGUAAAAGUAAGAAACUAUUUAAUAACGUCGCAAAAAUGUACAAGCAACAUUGCAUCUCUGUUUCAUACGGCGUUGAUGUAUACUGUACCUCUACUGUACACUCUGUAUGAAGUAGCGCGUUCUGUUCGCCUCCCUAAUUUGCCUACUGUUUUUAUUUACGUUCCAUUCACGGGCAGUUCCUCGGCAAGCGUUCGACCCAUUCUGCUUUCUUUCUGUGACGUGUUUGACGUAAUUCUUCAUUCAUCGUGGUACUUUGUUUAUUCUGUUCACGCGACGAUAGCAAGUUUGUAAACAGACUUCGAAGGUGGCCAUUUCGAACACCUGCUACAAAGAUAAGAACUUAUGGGUUAAUAAUAGUAGUAAUAUUUAUAUACAAACUUACGGUACAAAUACAUCGUGUUUUAGGUUUAUAAAGUGGAUAAACUGUUUCGUUAAAGCUGUAGUCUCUUGUUGUUACCUACUUUGCCGGAUUAGCCUCGUUCGGUUUGCUCCUAUUGCGUUGCCUGGCUUAUUUUCCUGUUCAUUCUUUCACGCAGAAAGAUCUUAAUCCCAUGCACGAUUUUAUACGCGUGUAUGUAUCCUUUAUUGGCUUUUCUUCUCGAAAAGAAAAGAUACUUGUAAUAUUCGUACUCUGUCGAGAAUUCUGUUUAGAUUUAUAUCGAGGACGCUUGACCACGGUAUGUUUCAAUGUCUCCGCUUUGUUCCAGUUGCACAGUUUGCAACUUGCAUUGUCGUUAAUAAAAUAUGUAACACCCUCGACGUUUACUCGAUGGUCUUACUCGUGCCAGGGUUGUUCCGUAGUCGCAGAUUACUGGAACGCGAAAAUGGCUGUAACUUGGGAAGAAGGUCAGGCAGGACACGCGUUCUUACGACGCGGAUUCCACGCGUUACGAUACACCCUGUAUAUCUAUCCGAUGCAUAAUGCAGAUAUCAGACGAGUGAUAUUUCAGAAGAGUUUACGGUGCGCGAUUCGUGGCGAUCGCGGCAUUUAUUUCUGUCUCCGAGCUAGUCAACUAAUCGUUACCUGGCGCUAAUAAAAUACUUCCAUCCUGUACGUCGACUCGAUCCUUCGCCUUGUUCGCUUUUGUGCAACAGCCACACACAACGAAUUUCUCGGCUCGAUCUCGGUUAUCUUCGGCAUAGUCGGAUCACCGACCGGGGUAUCGGUGAUCGGAUACUCGCUUAUUUAUACGACUGUAUCGGUAAUUACCUAUGAGGGAAGACCCUGCAGAUAGGGCGGAACUUGAUUUUUCCGGUCGAUGGAAAAACCUGUUCUCUAAACCGAAUAAAUCCUCUGUUUUACGAUAUUUCGACGAUUCUACGGCCCCUCUGCUAUCGACGCGGAAUCUUUCUUCGCUUACGGUUAAAUGCCGAAGCCGCGUGCUCGUUGAACCGACAACGAGGAACCUUCUGUUGUCAGGUGUUGUCCGAUUCGAAUCAUAAUCGACGAGUAUCAAUUUGCGCAAGGUGGACGAC